rnacentral:tRNA from 1 species
GGGUGCAUGGUCUAGUGGUAUGAUUUUCGCUUCGCAUGUGAAAGGUCCCCGGUUCAAUCCCGGGUGCAUCCA